UUAGUGCCAAGCGCACACUGACUCGCACAAAGGACGGCCGAAAUGACAAGCUUUGGGGCGUAAAAGGAGACUUGUUUAUGUCUUGUUGAACCAUAUAAACGAGCUGCACAGGCCACACUGUAAAAUAUGUACAUGCCAUUCCCCGGCUAAAAGCAAACAAACAAAAACAUCGAAGAGACAACCCCCCCUUUGCGCCCUUUCCUGCUAUUUGUCGCAAUCGGACUACGGAUCUGUCUGCGCCAGGCAGAGACAACGAGGGUGAAAAAAGGAGCGAGGAGGUGGGGGAGCCAGAGGGGAAAGCGUGAGGCGGCUGAUAACAACGAGACCGCCGGAGAGAACGCACAGCCUGCGGUAGUCCAGCAGAGGUUUGGAGAUGGACAGAUAAAUCACUUCAAACCUGACUCAUCCCCCGUACAGACUGCAGAGCAAACAUUCUGGCUUAUUAAAAGGAAUUCGACUCAUCGUUGACCCAGAUCUGGUGUCAAACCACCGUGCGCUGGCCCGCGUCAAAGCCACCGACUGGGGACUUUAAUCAAGAUGAGUGAACGGCCUGCUGAGGGUUUCCUCCAGCUCUAAGUAAUCCUCUUCUUCCAGCCUCCGCUUAUUGAUCGGCUCAUUGAUUUCAUUUAGCGGCCACGCGGGUACCCCUUCCUUUCUGGCAUUUUAAGGCAUUACCUAAUCUGGUUAUGCUGCUUCCACAGGUGCCACAGUUGCAGUAAAAUGGCAAGAAGCAUGAGGCUAUUCUUUGUGGGAGAAGGGCUCUCCGACACGAUUUUACUCCAUUUUAGACUCCGCCCUGACUAGAUUCUCCCUCGAUCUGCAGACCAGAACAAAUAUUUCAGCCUAGAGACAACUGAAUUUCCAGGCAGUCUUUGUAAGCUGCCUUUAUACACAAGGGAAUUGGGUAUCCAUAGCUCCCUUACAGGAUUGUUCCAUUAAGUUGCAGCUGAAAAGUACACUGAUGAGUUGGGUUAAGUCUUGGUUUGUAAAUAUGAGUAAUUAAACAUGUUCUGACGCAUCAUCAUUGUUUUAGUGGUGAACAAAUAUUAAUUCAUUAAUAUUGCAAGUGGGUACUUGACAAACUGCAGAAAAGCCAGCAAAUCCGCACCUCUGAAUGUUUAUUUCAGGAAGCAAUUGUUUCCUUUAGGCCUCUCUGUUAUCUUCUAAGAUAAUAGAAGCUUUCAAAGCAUGAUUACUUCCCGUUAGCAUCAACUAAGCCGGUACAGAACAUAAAAGCUUUGUGACUAUGAGACGCAGGGGGCAUCAGGGGUAAACUCAUAGAAAACAGGUGGUGGAGUUCCUCUCGGUUUUUUAUCAUCAAAAUUAACUGAAAUUACGGAUUAAAGAUUGGUUUCAUAAUGGGACAGGGAUACCUUUUUUUUCCCACUCCUCAGCCUUAAACAGCUGUUUGGCUAUUAGAACUACAACCAAUUAUGUUUACAUGCUGUUCCUAUUAAACAUUUGUAAUUGUGAGAAGAAAGCAAGAUUUUAUUUUCUGUUUAGAGCUGUUGGAUUGAUGCCUUUCCCCCCACUAACAUCACGCUCCGAGGCAUAAGCCUGUUCAAAAUGCGCUGCAAAUGUGGAUCACUCGGGUUUCGUUAUUAAAAAAACACAAUUUUGG
ensembl:lncRNA